CGUGCCCGCCGGGGCCGCCGCGGGGGUCAGGAUCGGGAACGAGCAGCUGGUUGUGCAGAUCGCUCAGGUCCAGCAGAUGGCGGCCGACCUGGCCAGGCACCUCGACGAGCUCGAGUACUACGGCAUCAGGGAAAAGAUAAAAAGGAAGAACUUCAAGAGCAGCAACCCGUUGGUAUCCAAAGUGAAAUCUUUUACUGAAGUUGGACAAUCAAAGCCAAGAAUCAAUAGAUCUGACAUACCACACAUAAGAGAUACCGUGGAAAAUCUGCAUAAGAUUUGUGAUGAUGUUCACAAUGCCCUUUUGUUAGAGAAACUAGAUGGAAUUAAUCGGGCAACUCGAAAAACAAGCACAGACACACGUGAGGCAGUGGAGAGUUUCACUGAAACUAAGGUGUUCUCAAGGGAAGAGAAGGAUGGUAUUCUCAAACUAAUUAGUAGCAGUGCAUCAAGCGGUCAAGAACUUUUAGUUGUUCCAAUAGUUGGUGAUGGAGGUGUUGGGAAGACAACACUCGCUCGACUAGUUUACCAUGACCCAGAUGUAAAAGCUAAGUUCAACAUCAGGAUUUGGGUCUAUGUAUCUGCGAGCUUUGACGAAGUGAAGCUUACGCAAAGUAUUCUGGAACAAAUACCUGAAUGCGAGCAUACAAAUACUCAAAACCUCACUGUGCUUCAGCGUGGUAUCAAGGAACACUUAACCAAAAGAUUUUUACUUGUAUUGGAUGAUAUGUGGGAGGAGAGUGAGGGUCGUUGGGACAAGCUGUUGGCACCACUUAGAUGUACAGAAGUUAAAGGUAAUGUGAUUCUGGUAACAACCCGAAAGUUGUCUGUUGCCAGCAUAACAAGCAAAAUGGAGGAGCACAUCAACUUGGAUGGUAUGAAGGAUGAUAUAUUUUGGUGCUUCUUUAAAAGAUGCAUAUUUGGUGAUGAGAAUUAUCAAGGUCAGAAGAAGCUUCAAAAAAUUGGAAAGCAAAUAGCCACCAAGCUGAAAGGAAAUCCAUUAGCAGCUAAAAGUGUCAGCACGCUUUUGAGAAGAAAUCUUCAUGAGGUUCACUGGAGAAAAAUUUUGGACAGUGAUGAAUGGAAGUUACAAAAUGGUACAGAUGGUAUCAUACCAGCACUAAUGCUCAGUUACAAUCACUUGUCCUACCACCUUCAGCUCCUCUUUUCCCAUUGUGCUCUGUUUCCAAAAGGUUACAAAUUCGAUAAGGAACAGCUGAUACGUGUAUGGAUCGCUCUUGGCUUUCUCAUUGACGAGAGAAGAAAAUUGGAAGAUGCAGGAAGUGACAGUUUUGAUGAUUUGGUAGACCGGAGCUUCUUACAGAAAGAUGGGCAGUACUUUGUUGUGCAUGAUUUAAUACAUGAUGUAGCACGAGAAGUCUCACUAUGUGAGUGCCUUACCAUUGAUGGCUCAGACCAUCGGAAAGUUUUCCCAUCCAUUCGUCAUCUUGGCAUCUGGACGGAGUUGGUUUAUAAGGAAAUAAGCAUAGAACGUAGUGAGACUUUUGAAGAAAAGCUAGAAGAAAUUCAGAAUAGUGGUAUUCUGAGAAGCUUGGAGAGUUUAAUGCUUGUAGGUGUAUAUGAUGAGAACUUCUCUGCAAAGUUUGUGAAGACUCUUCAGCAAUCACGUUAUGUCCGGGUACUUCAGUUAUCUGCAAUGCCCUUCAAUGCUGACGUGUUGCUAUCCAGUGUUAAAAAGUUCAUCCAUCUUCGCUAUUUAGAACUGAGGUCUACCUCUGAUAUGCGCAACCCUUUGCCUGAGGCCAUCUGUAAGCUCUACCACCUACAGGUACUGGACAUCAUACAUUGGAGCGGCCUAGAUGAUUUGCCAAAGGGUAUGAGUAAUCUUGUCAACCUCCGCUAUUUACUUGUUCCGGAGUCAGGGUCAUUGCACUCGAAGAUAUCAAGAGUUGGAGAACUUAAGUUUCUACAAGAGCUGAAUGAGUUCCGGGUGCAGCGAGACAGUGGCUUUGCCAUCUCGCAGCUGGAGUACUUAAACGAGAUCAGGGGAUCGCUUAUUAUCCUUGAUCUUGAGAAUGCCACAAAGAAGGAAGAGGCUAAUCGUGCAAGGAUUAAAGAUAAAAAACAUCUGAGGACACUUUCACUCUCAUGGGGUAGUGCAAGUGGGAAUCCUUCUGUUCAGAGAGAAGUAAUCGAGGGUCUUAAACCACAUGAUUACCUCGCACAUCUCCAUGUCAUAAACUAUGCUGGUGCUACUCCAUCAUGGCUGGGAGAAAAUUUCUCACUCGGCAAUCUAGAAAGCCUCCAUCUCCAGGACUGUUCAGCACUGAAGGUUCUUCCACCGUUUGAAGAGUUGCCAUUCCUGAAGAAACUACACUUGACUGGUUUGUCAUCUCUGAAAGAAUUUAAUGUUGAUUUCAAUCGUGGUGGGGUGAGUACAGGCUCCCAGUCAUGUGAGGAGGAUGAGUUGGAGUUAAGUGAAGUUGAGAUAGCGAAGUGUUCAGCUUUAACACGCAUAAGGCUUCAUUCCUGCAAGGCAUUGACCAAGUUAAGUGUGACAGAUUGUGGAGCACUAUCUUGUCUAGAAGGUUUGCCACCCCCUGAUCAACUGAAACACUGUGUUGUCAAAGGAUGCCCUCAACUUCCAGCUAAUAACAUCUCGAGCUGAUUAUUUGUUGACAAAGCACUCUGAAGAAAAUCUGUAAGAUGAGGCAACUCCAUGAGCUACAACACAUGGCACCCUUGUAUUUAAGAACAUGACUAUAGGUGCUUGACUCAAACACCGUCCAUCUAUAUCUACUCGUACCAAGUACACAAAUUUCACCAGAGUGGUUGCACUCUACUUUGAAUGUUUGCGCUGAAAGAACAUGCCUGUUUACUGGCUGGUGGCGGUAAGAACAAAGAAUAUGUCCACAUGAAUAUUUGGAUGCUCCAUGUGCUGGCAAUAAAAUAAGGGCAAGUUUGGGCAAAUUUAUAGGAAAAUCUACUAAGAUCAGUACGGAGUAGAAUAUGAAGUUUAUACGGACUAUUUCCUCCGUCCCAAAAUAAGUCACGUGAAUUUGUAUAAUCCAGGGAGUAGUAUUUGUAACAAGUUACAAGAAAAGUGUUUUAAAAGGCUGUCUCCGAUUUCUGGCGAUGCCUUGGCCUGGCAA